UGCCGGCGGGAAACAAGCCCCCUUAAUAGGUGAGUUCCGGGGGCUUCCGUCCUGGCGGAAGUGGAUCGGAUCGAUCAACGCCGCCAAGUGGUCAGUUCCGCGGAUCUCAAAUUCCCUUGAGAUGAAAUUAUGAAGUUCUGUGCCGGGCCCAAGGGAGGACAAGGGAGUAAAACACAUCUGUGACAUGAAGUGAUGAGCACCCACACCUGGAAGGCUGCACAGAGCCAGGGAAGACAACAUCAGAAUUUCUCGUCUGGAAAUACGAAACCAGUAGAAUCUGGGAGCUCCUCCUGCGAUUUGGGGAAGGCUGGAAGCCCAUGAAAAGGAGGUCUGCAUGGAGAAGGCAGCUUGGAUUCUGAAGAUGACAGAGGUUGAGAAAAGAAACGUGCUGAGCAGUUUCUAACGGCAGUACAGAAGCUGGGCGUGGUGGUGCUGCCUGUCAUCUCAGCACUCAGGAGGCUGAGGCAAGAGGAUCACUGCGAGUUCAA